AGUUGAUGAGUUUUUGGUGAAAAUUAGGUGAAAAAAAUGUGUGUACAAGAAAUGAUAGGUAUAUUGCAAAGUAUGGCAUUUGUUGAUUUGGAGAAGGCAUUCCUUUGCGUAUAAAAAGGAAGUUUACUGGAGUUUUUUGUGUGUAUGUGUGCUGUGUAGUGAGAAUGUGCAGAGAAAGUAAGAAUUAGAGAUUGAGCAAGUUGUGAGAGAAAAAAUGAAGAA
rnacentral:misc_RNA from 1 species